rnacentral:rRNA from 1 species
UGUGUAGGCGGUUGUUUAAGUUUGGUGUGAAAUCUCCCGGCUCAACUGGGAGGGUGCGCCGAAUACUGAAUGACUCGAGUGCGGGAGAGGAAAGUGGAAUUCCUGGUGUAGCGGUGAAAUGCGUAGAUAUCAGGAGGAACACCGGUGGUGUAGACGGCUUUCUGGACCGUAACUGACGCUGAGACACGAAAGCGUGGGUAGCAAACAGGAUUAGAUACCCUGGUAGUCCACGCCCUAAACGAUGCAUAUUUGGUGUGGGCAGUUCAUUCUGUCCGUGCCGGAGCUAACGCGUUAAAUAUGCCGCCUGGGGAGUACAGUCGCAAGGCUGAA